rnacentral:rRNA from 1 species
ACGGGAGGCAGCAGUGAGGAAUAUUGGACAAUGGGCGGAAGCCUGAUCCAGCCAUGCCGCGUGCAGGACUAAGGCCCUAUGGGUCGUAAACUGCUUUUGUUGUGGAGCAAUAAGGUCUACGUGUAGACUGAUGAGAGUACACAGCGAAUAAGCAUCGGCUAACUCCGUGCCAGCAGCCGCGGUAAUACGGAGGAUGCAAGCGUUAUCCGGAUUUAUUGGGUUUAAAGGGUGCGCAGGCGGCCCGUUAAGUCAGCGGUGAAAUGUCGGGGCUCAACCCGGGCACUGCCGUUGAAACUGGGGGGCUUGAGUACGGAUGAGGUCGGCGGAAUGUGACGUGUAGCGGUGAAAUGCAUAGAUAUGUCACAGAACACCGAUUGCGAAGGCAGCCGGCCAAUCCGCAACUGACGCUCAUGCACGAAAGCGUGGGGAUCGAACAGGAUUAGAUACCCUGGUA